rnacentral:rRNA from 1 species
GAUGAACGCUGGCGGCGUGCCUAAUACAUGCAAGUCGAGCGAACAGACGAGGAGCUUGCUCCUCUGACGUUAGCGGCGGACGGGUGAGUAACACGUGGAUAACCUACCUAUAAGACUGGGAUAACUUCGGGAAACCGGAGCUAAUACCGGAUAAUAUAUUGAACCGCAUGGUUCAAUAGUGAAAGACGGUUUUGCUGUCACUUAUAGAUGGAUCCGCGCCGCAUUAGCUAGUUGGUAAGGUAACGGCUUACCAAGGCGACGAUGCGUAGCCGACCUGAGAGGGUGAUCGGCCACACUGGAACUGAGACACGGUCCAGACUCCUCCGGGAGGCAGCAGUAGGGAAUCUUCCGCAAUGGGCGAAAGCUUGACGGAGCAACGCCGCGUGAGUGAUGAAGGUCUUCGGAUCGUAAAACUCUGUUAUUAGGGAAGAACAAAUGUGUAAGUAACUAUGCACGUCUUGACGGUACCUAAUCAGAAAGCCACGGCUAACUACGUG